UGGGGUUUAGCUCAGCGGCAUAAGCACCUGCCUUGCAAGCAGGUGAUCGGAGUUCAAGCCCCAGUACCAA
rnacentral:tRNA from 1 species